AGAUGAAGAAAUAUUGAAGUGGAGUUAAUGUUUUGCAGUGAUUACCUAAUGGAUUUGAUACAUGAGGAAGACCACACGGAAAAGCAUACUUGGAGGCGGUGGAGGGGCAACUGCGGCUGAAGGCUCUGCCUGAUGGAUCUCCAAACAGAACCAGGAUUCUUCGCUGCUUGAACAUCAGAAGCGGUCAGUGCCAAGAGCUGACCCAGACCCGACCGAGGUCUCAUCUUAGCUGUGUGCCCACAGACUGACUUUGCAUGUGGUUCAUUAACUUCCUGCACCCUUCUGUUAUCUUGUGUGUUUGGGGUUUGUCUUCUGUCCUGCUCCGUGUGCUGUGUGAGAAGCCAAGUUUAAUCACAUGGUGAGAUGUCAUUGAAUCUGGAAUCCUGAACCUGCUUUAUAAUUGUGAUUUAACUUUGCUUUACAAUUGAACACAGCUGACACUGUGGAAAGACACAACUCGUGUGUGCGCCUUCAUAGCGUGCUCAUGACAGACCUCCUCACUCAGGGACAUUUUAGUGAAUUCUAAGAAGUCCAGGUUCGAGGCUACUAUGCCUGAAAGGGAAAAAGGAAGAGACAGGAAAACUCUAAAAAACAGCCUCAAGGGCUCCAAGUACAACUGUCUGGGAUACUUUUUGUAGGAACAAAACAAUCAGGAAAUGCUAAGGGAAUUACCAUAUAUGUCAUAAUAUGUUG